UUCAUAGCCAUAACACCAAAGACAGUACGUGAUAACGUUUUGUUCUACCAGAAAACAUUAUGGUUUUACUUUUAAUGGUUCUACCUUGUACACAUACGGCUGCUGUGGAGUGAGCCAGUGGGUAAUGGAUGGAGCAGGAGGAAGUGCCGGACACAAUUGGUCAGGCCAGACACUCUUUGGAUGCAUCAAUAAGAGAGAGGAAGAUUAAGACGGUUGGACAGAACCUUCAGAGACUGUAGAGGGGAAUGACUCCCCGUUCAAUGGAACAGACGCAUCACAGCCCAGAGUAAGGGGUUCCUCCUGUCUCUUCACUGAGGUUUCAGAGUCAAGUGGGGAGGAUGAAGAUGCCCUUUCCUCUGAGACAAAACCAUAGAGAACAGAGCUUCAAAAAAUAGAAAAAUCAUCUCCAGCCCUAAAGCAGCACAGAAAAUGGGGCAAAAGAAGGCCACGCCUCUCUCCAUCCACUCCACCCUGGACACCCAUCCCUGCCAAAUCCAGGAAGAACGCUCAUCCAGCCACACCUCUUAACAGUGGGUCAGCGAGGAGGUGGAGGACUGAGGAUGAACCAGAACAAGAGCCUAAACCGUUCCGCUUCGAACCAGCCAGGACUCCAGGACCCCAGCUAGACACUUCAAAGAACUACACCCCUCUAGAGCUCUUCCAGCUGUUCUUCAGUAAUGACAUUGUUGAUACUCUCCGCUCAAACACAAACAAGAAUGCCAAGAGAAGACAGGAACAGGGAUUUAAAGAAACAUGGAGACCUGUAUCCAUGGAGGAAAUGUACAAAUACCUCAAGAUUUCGGGCCAAUCACCUAUUCACUGCACUUGAGUGACCCAGCAGAGGAUGAGGAAAAGGCCAAGAAGAAGGGGACUGCAGGGUACGAUCGGCUCAUGAGAAUCAAACCUCUCAAAGACCAGCUAUUGGAGACAUGCAGGGACUUCUCCUAUUCCAGAACCUUUCCAUUGAUGAGCGCAUGGUGCGCUCCAAGGCCCACCAAAGCCUCAAACAAUACAUGAAAUCCAAGCGCUACAGGUAUGGAUUCAAGGUCUAUGUUUUAGCUGAUUCACGAAAUGGCUACACCUGUGACUUCAAUGUAUUUAUAGGCAAGAACCCAUCUGCUACAGGAAAAGGGGAGUGCUAUGACGCUGUCAUGAUCCUGUUGAAUGUCCCUCACUUGGGCACAGGGUACCACAUUUACCUUUGAUAGCUAUUUCACCAGCGCAACUCUCUUCCGUGACCUGUACAAGAAGAAAUUGGGAGCAUGUGGAACCAUACGUGAAAACCAUGUGGGCCUCUCUGGCAUCCAAGAGAACAGCAUGCCUCCCAGAGCAAAGAGAGGGACCAUCCGCUGGCUUCGUGGCUGGGAGCUGCUCUUCAAGUAGAUGGACGCAUGACCAGUCACCAUGUGCUGACGUUGCACUGAAAGGGGAUGUUCAGGAGGAGAGGGGGGAGGAGCAGGAGGAACAACAGAGUAAACAGCGAGUGGAAAAGCAGGGUGAAGAAGAGGAGGUGGAAAUGGGUUCAUUGUGCUGUCCUGUGCCCACUAAUGAUCCCAUCACUGUUGAGACAAGGGAUAAAGCUAGUGAGGGCAGGAUGGUCUGUCAUUUGUGCAAGAAAAAUAGCAUUUGGCAGUGCGAGUCCCGCAAGGUGGCACUCUGCAUUAUACCAGAUUGGAACUGAUUCAGAAUAUGGCAUGUGAAUAAAGACAAUGAAGACAAGUUAAUAAUUUAUUUUCGUUCCAUGGGUGAGGCCUACAGGAUUUCUGAAUUGGUGGGAUGUAUAGGGAAUUGUUGUACCUAUAUACUGUAUUGUUGCACAUGUAGCUAACACAUUCAAACGUAUUUGUGUUCGCCACAAAUGUUUUCUUAGGGUAGCCAACAUUCUGAAUAGAUUUGUGUGGCGAAAACAUGUCUUAGGGGAGAGUGGGGUAAGUUUAGCCACCCUUGUUUCUAGGAAACCACACACAAAAUUAAUAAUUUGACCAAAU